rnacentral:rRNA from 1 species
UUGACCUCGGAUCAGGUAGGGAUACCCGCUGAACUUAAGCAUAUCAAUAAGCGGAGGAAAAGAAACCAACAGGGAUUGCCUCAGUAACGGCGAGUGAAGCGGCAACAGCUCAAAUUUGAAAUCUGGCUCUCGGGCCCGAGUUGUAAUUUGUAGAGGAUGUUUCGAGCAUGGUCUGGCCUAAGUUCCUUGGAACAGGACGUCAUAGAGGGUGAGAAUCCCGUAUGCGGUCAGGUGCCUACGCUCAUGUGAAACUCCUUCGACGAGUCGAGUUGUUUGGGAAUGCAGCUCAAAAUGGGAGGUAAAUUUCUUCUAAAGCUAAAUAUUGGCCAGAGACCGAUAGCGCACAAGUAGAGUGAUCGAAAGAUGAAAAGCACUUUGGAAAGAGAGUUAAACAGUACGUGAAAUUGUUGAAAGGGAAGCGCUUGCAACCAGACUUGCACGCAGCUGAUCAUCCGGGCUUCUGCCCGGUGCACUCGGUUGUGUUCAGGCCAGCAUCAGUUUUGGGGGUGGGAUAAAGGCCCUAGGAAUGUAGCUCCUCUCGGGGAGUGUUAUAGCCUAGGGUGCAAUGCCACCACCCGGGACUGAGGACCGCGCUUCGGCUAGGAUGC